UCCAAUCAGCUGAAGAUGUUAAAAGCAAAAACUGAAGUUUCCUAAAGAAGAAGGAAUUCUGCCUCAAGACUGUAUCAUAGAAAUCUUUCCUGAAUUUUCAGCCUGCUGGCCUGCUCUAUGGAUUUUGAACUUGCCAUCCCCCACAAUCAUCGAGUUCAGAACAUAAGCUCCUCUUCAAAGUAAACACAGGCACAUGAAAACUUGACAGAAAAGGAGUGGAGGAUGUGAACUGGAUAGAUAUGGGAUAAAGUAAUAAAAGUGAGAGGGAAGGAAGUUGAGUUACAGAUGGUUAACUCCCACUUGUAUGUCCCGUGCUGGUGAAGUAAUACCAGGUGUACAUCAACUGUUAUGGGAAUGAGGUGGAAACAAGGGUCUUUGAAUAGAGGUGGGGGGAGCAAACCUCUGCUAAAGUAGACACAGAGAUCAGAAGCAACGAAGUCAAAGCUGCUUCCCACCAAGCUGUGUGGUC